rnacentral:siRNA from 1 species
ACGUGGCUGGCCAAAUGGCAC